rnacentral:rRNA from 1 species
GGCUCAGGAUGAACGCUAGCGGGAGCCUAACACAUGCAAGCCGAGCGGUAGAGAUUCUUCGGGAUCUUGAGAGCGGCGUACGGGUGCGGUAACACGUGUGCAACCUACCUUUAUCUGGAGGAUAGCCUUUCGAAAGGAAGAUUAAUACUCCAUAAUAUAUUGAUUGGCAUCGAUUGAUAUUGAAAGCUCCGGCGGAUAGAGAUGGGCACGCGCAAGAUUAGCUAGUUGGUGAGGUAACGGCUCACCAAGGCGAUGAUCUUUAGGGGCCUGAGAGGGUGAUCCCCCACACUGGUACUGAGACACGGACCAGACUCCUACGGGAGGCAGCAGUGAGGAAUAUUGGUCAAUGGGUGCAAGCCUGAACCAGCCAUCCCGCGUGAAGGACGACUGCCCUAUGGGUUGUAAACUUCUUUUGUAUAGGGAUAAACCUACCCUCGUGAGGGUAGCUGAAGGUACUAUACGAAUAAGCACCGGCUAACUCCGUG